rnacentral:rRNA from 1 species
UUAAGUGAAUAAGGGCGUACGGUGGAUGCCUAGGCACUUGGAACUGAAGAAGGACGCAACAAACGGCGAAACGCGACGGGGAGUGGUACGUACACAAAGAUCCGUCGAUAUCCGAAUGGGGAAACCCGGCAGCAGUAAUGAGCUGUCACCCAUGAGUGAAUACAUAGCUCAUGAGGGAGGUACCCGGAGAACUGAAACAUCUAAGUAUCCGGAGGAAAAGAAAAUAAGAAUGAUUCCGUAAGUAGCGGCGAGCGAACGCGGAGGAGCCCAAACCAGAUCUUGAUCUGGGGUUGUAGGACCACGAAAUGGCAAGAGCAUGGCUAAGAGAACGGCAUUGAAAGGCCGACCGGAGAGGGUGCAAGUCCCGUAACUGAAAGUCUAGCGAAGCCUAGUGGUAUCCUGAGUACGGCGAGACACGAGAAAUCUUGUCGGAAGCAGGCGGGACCAUCCGUCAAGGCUAAAUAUACCCAAGUGACCGAUAGUGAACCAGUACCGUGAGGGAAAGGUGAAAAGAACCGCGGGAGCGGAGUGAAAUAGAACCUGAAACCGUAUGCUUACAAGAAGUCAGAGCCCGUUAAAGGGUGAUGGCGUGCCUUUUGUAGAAUGAACCGGCGAGUUACGUUAUCGUGCGAGGUUAAGUAGAAGAUACGGAGCCGAAGCGAAAGCGAGUCUUAAUAGGGCGACAGUACGAUGAUGUAGACCCGAAACCGUGUGAUCUAGCCAUGACCAGGUUGAAGUUCAGGUGAAACUGAAUGGAGGACCGAACCGACCCCCGUUGAAAAGUUGGCGGAUGAGUUGUGGCUAGGGGAGAAAUUCCAAUCGAACACGGAUAUAGCUGGUUCUCCCCGAAAUAGCUUUAGGGCUAGCGUCGAGGUAGAGUCGCAUGGAGGUAGAGCACUGAAUGUACGAUGGCCCCAUCCCGGGGUACUGAGUAUAAUCAAACUCCGAAUGCCAUGCAGACAUACUCGGCAGUCAGACUGUGGGUGAUAAGGUCCAUGGUCAAAAGGGAAACAGCCCAGACCGCCAGUUAAGGUCCCAAAAUGUAUGCUAAGUGGAAAAGGAUGUGGGGAUGCACAGACAACUAGGAGGUUGGCUCAGAAGCAGCCAUCCUUCAAAGAGUGCGUAACAGCUCACUAGUCGAGUGACCCUGCGCCGAAAAUGUACCGGGGCUAAGCAUACUACCGAAGCUGCGGAUUCAACUUCAGAGUUGAGUGGUAGGGGAGCGUUGCAUGCACGUAGAAGCCGUACCGUAAGGAGCGGUGGAGAGCAUGGAAGAGAGAAUGCCGGUGUGAGUAGCGAGAUGUAGGUGAGAAUCCUACACACCGAUAGCCCAAGGAUUCCAGGGGAAGGUUCGUCCGCCCUGGGUAAGUCGGGACCUAACGCGAGGCCGAAAGGCGUAGUGGAUGGAAAACAGGCAGAUAUUCCUGUACCCGCGAUGGAAAUGAAGGAAUGACGGAGAAGGCUAGUGUGAGCCACUGAACGGAUUGUGGUCGAAGCAUAUAGCAGGCUGACAGUGAAAUGCGUCAGCGGGAUGUAAGAUGUGACAGGUAAGGGAACGUCCUCGGACAAGUACUGAAGCACAUGAUGCCAGCUUCCAAGAAAAGUUUCUAGUGAUAAUUCCAUAGCGGCCCGUACCAAAACCGACACAGGUGGGCAAGGAGAGAAUCCUGAGGUGAGCGAGAGAACUGUUGCCAAGGAACUCGGCAAAAUGACUCCGUAAGUUAGCGAUAAGGAGUGCUCUUGUAAAAGAGAGCCGCAGUGAAGAGGCCCAAGCGACUGUUUAACUAAAACACAGCUCUCUGCAAAGUCGCAAGACGAAGUAUAGGGGGUGACGCCUGCCCGGUGCUGGAAGGUUAAGAGGAUUUGUCAUCCGCAAGGAGAAGCAAUGAAUUGAAGCCCCAGUGAACGGCGGCCGUAACUAUAACGGUCCUAAGGUAGCGAAAUUCCUUGUCAGGUAAG